rnacentral:rRNA from 1 species
GAUGAACGCUGGCGGCGUGCUUAACACAUGCAAGUCGAACGGAAAGGCUCCUGCUUGCAGGGGUACUCGAGUGGCGAACGGGUGAGUAACACGUGGGUGAUCUGCCCUGCACUUCGGGAUAAGCCUGGGAAACUGGGUCUAAUACCGGAUAGGACGAUGGUUUGGAUGCCAUUGUGGAAAGUUUUUUCGGUGUGGGAUGAGCUCGCGGCCUAUCAGCUUGUUGGUGGGGUAAUGGCCUACCAAGGCGUCGACGGGUAGCCGGCCUGAGAGGGUGUACGGCCACAUUGGGACUGAGAUACGGCCCAGACUCCUACGGGAGGCAGCAGUGGGGAAUAUUGCACAAUGGGCGCAAGCCUGAUGCAGCGACGCCGCGUGGGGGAUGACGGCCUUCGGGUUGUAAACUCCUUUCACUAGGGACGAAGCGCAAGUGACGGUACCUGGAGAAGAAGCACCGGCUAACUACGUG